UGGGAAGCGUGGUUACAAGGGGAGCCUGGGGGGAAAGGAAUGAAACCCGGCUUCUCGGUACCUGCGUUCACCA
ensembl:miRNA